rnacentral:rRNA from 1 species
GGCAGACGGGUGAGUAAAGCGUGGGGAUGUACCCGAAGGUACGGAACAACUCCGGGAAACUGGAGCUAAUACCGUAUGUGCCCGAAAGGGGAAAGAUUUAUCGCCUUUGGAUCAACCCGCGUCAGAUUAGCUAGUUGGUAGGGUAAUGGCCUACCAAGGCGACGAUCUGUAGCUGGUCUGAGAGGAUGAUCAGCCACACUGGGACUGAGACACGGCCCAGACUCCUACGGGAGGCAGCAGUGGGGAAUAUUGGACAAUGGGCGCAAGCCUGAUCCAGCCAUGCCGCGUGAGUGAUGACGGCCUUAGGGUUGUAAAGCUCUUUCGACGGGGACGAUAAUGACGGUACCCGUAGAAGAAGCCCCGGCUAACUUCGUGCCAGCAGCCGCGGUAAUACG